AUUGAAUGCUGCCAGCAAGCCUAAUACAUGUGAGUUAGGCGGCAGCGAGGAAAAGCUUUGUUCUUUGCCGGCGAGUAGUGGACGGGUGAGCAAUGUCUUGGGAUCCUCUCAAUGAAAGGGGUAAUUACUAGAAACGGUUGUUAAUGCUACGCAACAUUGCAAGACCAAAGUGGGGGACCUUCGAGCCUCAUACCAUCAGAUGAACCCAGAUCAAAUUAGCUAGUAGGUGGGGUAAUAGCUUGCCUAGGCGAUAAUCCUUGGCUGGCCUGAGAGGAUGAACAACCACACUGGAACUGAGACACGGUCCAGACUCUUACGCAAGGCAGCAACGAGGAAUAUCUCAGGAUGAGGGAGAUCCUGAUCCAGCCAUGUCGUGUGUGAAGAAGGCCUGCUAGUUGUAAAAUACUUUCGUCAGAGGGUGAUAGCAUUAAUAGCAUCAUCGAUUGACGUUACUCAAAGAGGGGGCAUUGGCCAAUUCCGUGUCAGUAGUCGCGGUAAUGCGGAGGGGUGUGAGCAUUAAUCGGAAUUACUGGGCAUAAAGCGUACRUGGGUGGUCUGUUAAGUCAGAUAUAAAAUUCCUGGGCUCAACCUGGGAACUGCAUUUGAAACUGGCAGGCUAGAGUCUCGUAGAAGGGGCGGAAUUCCAGGUGUAGCAGUGCAAUGUGUAGGGAUCUGGAGGAAUACCGAUACUUGUGGUAGCCCCUGGUCAAAGACUGACACUCAGGUACAAAAGUGUGGGAAGCAAACAGGAUUAGAUACCCAGGUAGUCCAUCCUCUAAAUGAUGUUAAUUUGAAGGUUGUGCCCUUAAGUUUUGACUUUCAACGGUAAUGUGUUAAAUCGACCGCCUGUGGGGUACGCUCGCAAGGUUAAAACUCAAGUGAAUUGACGGGGCUUGCACAAGCGGUGGAGCAUGUGGUUUAAUUCGAUGUAAUGCGAAGAAUUUCCCACUCUUACAUCUAGAGAGCUAGGCAGAGAUAGCUUAGCGUCUUCGGGAGCUUUGAGGUAGGUGCUGGAUAGUUGUCGUCAGCUUCUGUUGUAAAAUAUGUUGGGUUAAGUCCCGCAACGAGCGCAACCCUUAUUUUGUUGCCAGCGAUUUUAUCAAGCAUUUCAGGAAGACUGGUGGUGAUAAAUCGGAGGAAGGUGAGGACGACAUUCAGUCAUCAUAGCCCUUAUGAGUAGGGCUACACAUACGCUAUAAUCGUGUAUAAAAAGAGAAGCAAUUUUACAAGGGUAAGCGAACCUCAUAAAGUGCGUUGUGGUCCAGAUUGGAGUCUGCAAUGCAGCCCUAUGAGGUCGAAAUCACUAGUAAUCGUGGAUCAGCGGGUCAUGAUGAAUAUCUUCUCAGGGCCUUGUACACACCGCCCGUCACCCAUAGAAGUGGGUUGUAUAAGAAGUAGGUAGGUAGUUUAAUCUGCUGGAAUCGGCUUACCAUUUUGUGAUUCAUGACUGGGGUG
rnacentral:rRNA from 1 species